GAAAUGCACCCGUUUUGCAUCGUUUUUCGUGCCGGAACCGAAUGCCCAAAAACACUCCCAAACAUGUUCUAGUGCAUAUUUAGGAAGAUUGCAUGCGUUCGUUGCGAAAAAAUCCACCCGAGUUUCGCUACCCGGCAAUAGUGCAUUCGGGUGCCGAAAUGCACCCGUUUUGCAUCGUUUUUCGUGCCGGAACCGAAUGCCCAAAAACACUCCCAAACAUGUUCUAGUGCAUAUUUAGGAAGAUUGCAUGCGUUCGUUGCGAAAAAAUCCACCCGAGUUUCGCUACCCGGCAAUAGUGCAUUCGGGUGCCGAAAUGCACCCGUUUUGCAUCAUUUUUCGUGCCGGAACCGAAUGCCCAAAAACACUCCCAAACAUGUUCUAGUGCAUAUUUAGGAAGAUUGCAUGCGUUCGUUGCGAAAAAAUCCACCCGAGUUUCGCUACCCGGCAAUAGUGCAUUCGGGUGCCGAAAUGCACCCGUUUUGCAUCAUUUUUCGUGCCGGAACCGAAUGCCCAAAAACACUCCCAAACAUGUUCUAGUGCAUAUUUAGGAAGAUUGCAUGCGUUCGUUGCGAAAAAAUCCACCCGAGUUUCGCUACCCGGCAAUAGUGCAUUCGCGUGCCGAAAUGCACCCGUUUUGCAUCAUUUUUCGUGCCGGAACCGAAUGCCCAAAAACACUCCCAAAUAUGUUCUAGUGCAUAUUUAGGAAGAUUGCAUGCGUUCGUUGCGAAAAAAUCCACCCGAGUUUCGCUACCCGGCAAUACUGCAUUCGGGUGUCGAAAUGCACCCGUUUUGCAUCGUUUUUGGUGCCGGAACCAAAUGCACAAAAACACUCCCAAACAUGUUCUAGUGCAUAUUUAGGAAGAUUGCAUGCGUUCGUUGCGAAAAAAUCCACUCGAGUUUCGCUACCCGGCAAUAGUACAUUCGGCUGCCGAAAUGCACCCGUUUUGCAUCAUUUUUCGUGCUGAAACCGAAUGCCCAAAAACACUCCCAAACAUGUUCUAGUGCAUAUUUAGGAAGAUGGCAUGCGUUCGUUGCGAAAAAAUCCACCCGAGUUUCGCUACCCGGCAAUAGUGCAUUCGGGUGCCGAAAUGCACCCGUUUUGCAUCGUUUUUCGUGCCGGAACCGAAUGCCCAAAAACACUCCCAAACAUGUUCUAGUGCAUAUUUAGGAAGAUUGCAUGCGUUCGUUGCGAAAAAAUCCACCCGAGUUUCGCUACCCGGCAAUACUGCAUUCGGGUGUCGAAAUGCACCCGUUUUGCAUCGUUUUUCGUGCCGGAACCGAAUGCCCAAAAACACUCCCAAACAUGUUCUAGUGCAUAUUUAGGAAGAUUGCAUGCGUUCGUUGCGAAAAAAUCCACCCGAGUUUCGCUACCCGGCAAUACUGUAUUCGGGUGUCCGACAUGCACCCGUUUUGCAUCGUUUUUCGUGCCGGAACCAAAUGCACAAAAACACUCCCAAACAUGUUCUAGUGCAUAUUUAGGAAGAUUGCAUGCGUUCGUUGCGAAAAAAUCCACCCGAGUUUCGCUACCCGGCAAUAGUGCAUUCGGGUGCCGAAAUGCACCCGUUUUGCAUCAUUUUUCGUGCAAGAACCGAAUGGCCAAAAACACUCCCAAACAUGUUCUAGUGCAUAUUUACGAAGAUUGCAUGCGUUCGUUGCGAAAAAAUCCACCCGAGUUUCGCUACCCGGCAAUAGUGCAUUCGGGUGCCGAAAUGCACCCGUUUUGCAUCAUUUUUCGUGCCGGAACCGAAUGCCCAAAAACACUCCCAAAUAUGUUCUAGUGCAUAUUUAGGAAUAUUGCAUGCGUUCGUUGCGAAAAAAUCCACCCGAGUUUCGCUACCCGGCAAUACUGUCAUUCGGGUGUCGACAUGCACCCGUUUUGCAUCGUUUUUCGUGCCGGAACCAAAUGCACAAAAACACUCCCAAACAUGUUCUAGUGCAUAUUUAGGAAGAUUGCAUGCGUUCGUUGCGAAAAAAUCCACCCGAGUUUCGCUACGCGGUAAUAGUGCAUUCGGGUGCCGAAAUGCACCCGUUUUGCAUCAUUUUUCGUGCCGGAACCGAAUGCCCAAAAACACUCCCAAACAUGUCCUAGUGCAUAUUUAGGAAGAUUGCAUGCGUUCGUUGCGAAAAAAUCCACCCGAGUUUCGCUACCCGGCAAUAGUGCAUUCGGGUGCCGAAAUGCACCCGUUUUGCAUCGUUUUUCGUGCCGGAACCGAAUGCCCAAAAACACUCCCAAACAUGUUCUAGUGCAUAUUUAGGAAGAUUGCAUGCGUUCGUUGCGAAAAAAUCCACCCGAGUUUCGCUACCCGGCAAUACUGCAUUCGGGUGCCGAAAUGCACCCGUUUUGCAUCCUUUUUCAGUGCCGGAACCGAAUGCCCAAAAACACUCCCAAACAUGUUCUAGUGCAUAUUUAGGAAGAUUGCAUGCGUUCGUUGCGAAAAAAUCCACCCGAGUUUCGCUACCCGGCAAUAGUGCAUUCGGGUGCCGAAAUGCACCCGUUUUGCAUCGUUUUUCGUGCCGGAACCGAAUGCCCAAAAACACUCCCAAACAUGUUCUAGUGCAUAUUUAGGAAGAUUGCAUGCGUUCGUUGCGAAAAAAUCCACCCGAGUUUCGCUACCCGGCAAUAGUGCAUUCGGGUGCCGAAAUGCACCCGUUUUGCAUCGUUUUUCGUGCCGGAACCGAAUGCCCAAAAACACUCCCAAACAUGUUCUAGUGCAUAUUUAGGAAGAUUGCAUGCGUUCGUUGCGAAAAAAUCCACCCGAGUUUCGCUACCCGGCAAUACUGCAUUCGGGUGCCGAAAUGCACCCGUUUUGCAUCAUUUUUCGUGCCGGAACCGAAUGCCCAAAAACACUCCCAAACAUGUUCUAGUGCAUAUUUAGGAAGAUUGCAUGCGUUCGUUGCGAAAAAAUUCACCCGAGUUUCGCUACCCGGCAAUAGUGCAUUCGGGUGCCGAAAUGCACCCGUUUUGCAUCAUUUUUCGUGCCGGAACCGAAUGCCCAAAAACACUCCCAAACAUGUUCUAGUGCAUAUUUAGGAAGAUUGCAUGCGUUCGUUGCGAAAAAAUCCACCCGAGUUUCGCUACCCGGCAAUAGUGCAUUCGCGUGCCGAAAUGCACCCGUUUUGCAUCAUUUUUCGUGCCGGAACCGAAUGCCCAAAAACACUCCCAAAUAUGUUCUAGUGCAUAUUUAGGAAGAUUGCAUGCGUUCGUUGCGAAAAAAUCCACCCGAGUUUCGCUACCCGGCAAUACUGCAUUCGGGUGUCGAAAUGCACCCGUUUUGCAUCGUUUUUCGUGCCGGAACCAAAUGCACAAAAACACUCCCAAACAUGUUCUAGUGCAUAUUUAGGAAGAUUGCAUGCGUUCGUUGCGAAAAAAUCCACCCGAGUUUCGCUACCCGGCAAUAGUACAUUCGGCUGCCGAAAUGCACCCGUUUUGCAUCAUUUUUCGUGCCUGAAACCGAAUGCCCAAAAACACUCCCAAACAUGUUCUAGUGCAUAUUUAGGAAGAUGGCAUGCGUUCGUUGCGAAAAAAUCCACCCGAGUUUCGCUACCCGGCAAUAGUGCAUUCGGGUGCCGAAAUGCACCCGUUUUGCAUCGUUUUUCGUGCCGGAACCGAAUGCCCAAAAACACUCCCAAACAUGUUCUAGUGCAUAUUUAGGAAGAUUGCAUGCGUUCGUUGCGAAAAAAUCCACCCGAGUUUCGCUACCCGUCAAUACUGCAUUCGGGUGCCGAAAUGCACCCGUUUUGCAUCGUUUUUCGUGCCGGAACCGAAUGCCCAAAAACACUCCCAAACAUGUUCUAGUGCAUAUUUAGGAAGAAUGCAUGCGUUCGUUGCGAAAAAAUCCACCCGAGUUUCGCUACCCGGCAAUAGUACAUUCGGGUGCCGAAAUGCACCCGUUUUGCAUCAUUUUUCGUGCCGGAACCGAAUGCCCAAAAACACUCCCAAACAUGUUCUAGUGCAUAUUUAGGAAGAUUGCAUGCGUUCGUUGCGAAAAAAUCCACCCGAGUUUCGCUACCCGGCAAUAGUGCAUUCGUGUGCCGAAAUGCACCCGUUUUGCAUCGUUUUUCGUGCCGGAACCGAAUGCCCAAAAACACUCCCAAACAUGUUCUAGUGCAUAUUUAGGAAGAUUGCAUGCGUUCGUUGCGAAAAAAUCCACCCGAGUUUCGCUACCCGGCAAU
rnacentral:lncRNA from 1 species